rnacentral:lncRNA from 1 species
UCCAGAGGCAGAAGCUUGGGUGAACCAUUUGCUAAGGCCCUGAAAACUACCUUUUUCUCUCACACAAGCAGUUGUUGUAAUCAAAUUGGCUCCAUGCCUAGAGCAGGCUGUGUGACUCAGUGACAGUUGCAAUCAGAGCAUGGAGUUGGAGACAAAGAAGUCAUAGAUCAGGAAAUCACAGUGACGAUGGCCAAUUGGGAUUGGAUGGUUUUAUAUGAGUGGAAUUCUUUUUAAAGAAUUUAAUAUCAUUCAUCAAAGACACAUUUAAUCCUGUUACUUUUGUGUGAGAUUAAAAAAAAUUGUCCUGGUGAUAUUCUGUUCAAUACUACAAUUCUGUAUCAAGGGAAAGCUUCAAGUUAAUAUGUUCAGCAUUUCCAGUGAUCUUGGUUCGAAAACUGAAAAUCACAGAAAGGAAGUGCUGUGGCCAGGUCUACAUGAUACUGUGAAAUAUUUCUUAUCUUGAUUUUGUCCCGGAUAAGAUCCUGGAGCUUGAUAUUUACUGAAUACAUGCUGUUGUGCCAGGCACUAUUGUGGAUGCUUUAAAAAGCAGCAGAGCAGAAGGAAAGAA